rnacentral:rRNA from 1 species
ACCCAGACUCCUACGGGAGGCAGCAGUGGGGAAUAUUGCACAAUGGGGGAAACCCUGAUGCAGCGACGCCGCGUGAGCGAUGAAGUCUUUCGGUAUGUAAAGCUCUAUCAGCAGGGAAGAAGAUGACGGUACCUGACUAAGAAGCCCCGGCUAACUACGUGCCAGCAGCCGCGGUAAUACGUAGGGGGCAAGCGUUAUCCGGAUUUACUGGGUGUAAAGGGGGCGCAGACGGCGAUGCAAGCCAGGAGUGAAAGCCCGGGGCUCAACCCCGGGACUGCAUUUGAAACUGUCAGGCUGGAGUGCAGGAGAGGUAAGUGGAAUUCCUAGUGUAGCGGUGAAAUGCGUAGAUAUUAGGAGGAACACCAGUGGCGAAGGCGGCUUACUGGACUGUAACUGACGUUGAGGCUCGAAAGCGUGGGGAGCAAACAGGAUUAGAUACCCCAGUAA